UGUUGAUCAUUAUUUAAUGUGUAGUUUGCAAUAUAUAUGUGUAUUAUAUGGUAUGGUGCAUAUAUAUAUCUAAUAUGAAUGUACAUUUAGCUGUUAAAAUAGGUGUAUGAAAUAUUGCAGACCUUUUUGCUUAGAUUUGAAAAAGUUACAUUUUCAAUGACAUUUCCACAAGGUUAACAGCUAAAAGGUUGAAGUUAAAUUAGAACAAACACAUGUGUUGUCAGUCAAAUGUAUACAAAACACUUCACUUAAUUUUGAUGCUAACUAUAGGCAGAGCCAUCUAGGGUAUAUCCCAAACUUAGAUAUUCAAUACAUUACAUCAUGCAACAAGUUAGAAAACCUUUUUGGGAGUAUUACACAGGUGGGGGCUGCUUUAUGGAGGACAAAAUGGCUAUUUAACUGAAGGAGAAAGAGUGGGACGUUGUCAUUCAUUCAUCAUUCAUUCAUUCAUUCAUCUACUCUUACUCUGCAUGCUGUCACCACACAUCUGAAAGGUAUACAGGGACAUAUGCUGUAGCCACUAAUACAUUUGGUAAGAUUAAUUAUUUACUGACUAUUUUUGCAUUCUGUAACAUUCAUUCAAUACACUUUUAUCUUAUAUUUA